rnacentral:rRNA from 1 species
UAGGGCAUAGCCCGGUGAAAAUCGGAUUAAUACCCUAUGUUCUUCGCAGCAAGACAUCUAACGUGAAGCAAAAGGUUUACCGCGUAAAGGGAUGGGGAUGCGUCUGAUUAGGUAGUAGGCGGGGUAACGGCCCACCUAGCCUUCGAUCAGUAGGGGUUCUGAGAGGAAGGUCCCCCACAUUGGAACUGAGACACGGUCCAAACUCCUACGGGAGGCAGCAGUGAGGAAUAUUGGUCAAUGGGCGAGAGCCUGAACCAGCCAAGUAGCGUGCAGGAUGACCGGCCCUAUGGGUUGUAAACUGUCUUUUAUAGUGGGGAUAAAGUUCACCACGUGUGGUGUUUUGCAGGUACCAUAUGAAUAAGGACCGGCUAAUUCCGUGCCAGCAGCGGC